UGAGGAAUAUUGGUCAAUGGACGCAAGUCUGAACCAGCCACGUCGCGUGAAGGAAGACGGCCCUAUGGGUUGUAAACUUCUUUUGUAAGGGAAUAAAAGGAGUCACGAGUGACUUAUUGCAUGUACCUUACGAAUAAGGAUCGGCUAACUCCGUGCCAGCAGCCGCGGUAAUACGGAGGAUCCGAGCGUUAUCCGGAUUUAUUGGGUUUAAAGGGUGCGCAGGCGGGAGAUUAAGUCGGCGGUGAAAUUUUGCAGCUUAACUGUAAAAGUGCCAUCGAUACUGGUUUUCUUGAGUGUGGAUGAAGUAGGCGGAAUUUGUGGUGUAGCGGUGAAAUGCAUAGAUAUCACAAGGAACACCGAUUGCGCAGGCAGCUUACUAAACCAUAACUGACGCUCAGGCACGAAGGCGUGGGGAUCAAACAGGAUUAGAUACCCUGGUAGUCCACGCAGUAAACGAUGAUUACUGGCUGUUUGCGAUAUACAGUAAGCGGCUGAGCGAAAGCGUUAAGU
rnacentral:rRNA from 1 species